AAGCAAGAAGCAACCCUGCAGCAUGGUUUCGGCCCAUGCAGAGGAAUACCCUUAUUCCCUUGCCCG
rnacentral:tRNA from 1 species